rnacentral:rRNA from 1 species
GUGCCAGCAGCCGCGGUAAUACGGAGGGUGCGAGCGUUAAUCGGAAUUACUGGGCGUAAAGGGUACGUAGGCGGCUUGAUAAGUCAGAUGUGAAAUCCCCGGGCUUAACCUGGGAACUGCAUUUGAAACUGUUGAGCUAGAGUGAGUGAGAGGUAAGUGGAAUUCAAGGCGUAGCGGUGAAAUGCGUAGAGGUCUUGAGGAACAUCAGUGGCGAAGGCGACUUACUGGCACUACACUGACGCUGAGGUACGAAAGCGUGGGGAGCGAACAGGAUUAGAUACCCUGGUAGUCCACGCCCUAAACGAUGAGGACUGGCUGUUGGUGCUAUAGACGCAUCGGUAGCGAAGCUAACGCGUUAAGUUCUCCGCCUGGGGAGUACGCCGGCAACGGUAAAACUUAAAUGAAUUGACGGGG